rnacentral:rRNA from 1 species
AGCGAACGCUGGCGGCAUGCCUAACACAUGCAAGUCUGACGGGCCUGGGGCUUGCUCCGGGUCAGUGGCGGACGGGUGAGGAACGCGUAGGAACGUAUCCAAGGGUGGGGGAUAACCGCGCGAAACUGCGGCUAAUACCGCAUGGGGCCUCAAGGGAGACCUGGGGGCCGAAAGGCUGAGGGAAACCUUGGUCGCCGAUGGAGCGGCCUGCGUCCGAUUAGCUAGUUGGUGGGGUGACGGCUACCAAGGCUACGAUCGGUAGCUGGUCUGAGAGGAUGAUCAGCCACACUGGGACUGAGACACGGCCCAGACUCCUACGGGAGGCAGCAGUGGGGAGUAUUGGACAAUGGGCGAAAGCCUGAUCCAGCAAUGCCGCGU